rnacentral:rRNA from 1 species
GCUCCAGACUCCUACGGGAGGCAGCAGUGGGGGAUAUUGCACAAUGGGGGGAACCCUGAUGCAGCGACGCCGCGUGGGUGAAGAAGCGCCUCGGCGCGUAAAGCCCUGUCAGCAGGGAAGAAAAUGACGGUACCUGAAGAAGAAGCCCCGGCUAACUACAUGCCAGCAGCCGCGGUAAUACGUAGGGGGCAAGCGUUAUCCGGAUUUACUGGGUGUAAAGGGAGCGUAGACGGUGAAGCAAGUCUGAAGUGAAAGGCGGGGGCUCAACCCCCGGACUGCUUUGGAAACUGUUUGACUGGAGUGCAGGAGAGGUAAGUGGAAUUCCUAGUGUAGCGGUGAAAUGCGUAGAUAUUAGGAGGAACACCAGUGGCGAAGGCGACUUUCUGGACUGUACCUGACGCUGAGGCGCGAAAGCGUGGGUAGCGAACGGGAUUAGAUACCCGCGUA